rnacentral:lncRNA from 1 species
UCUUAAGGUGGUACCUAACACUACAGGGAGAUAACUCUGUAAAGUCAGCUAAACGUUUUAAUGACGUUGUGUUGUAAAAGGAAUAUUAAGCUUCUCAAUGAUCAAAAUUGGUGUUUGACAAAUUGCUAUAUAACCAGUGUAAUUUUUCUGACAAAACGGUUGGUUCAAAAAUUUUUAAUUUUUUAUAUUUUUGUGAAAGCGUCAAAG